AACCCAUGAUUUGGGCAUUUUAUCAACAUGAUCUUGAAUCUCUCCCAUGUCUCACAUAAAGAUUCCUUUGCUCCUUGUCUUAACAUAGAAAUUUAAGACUUAGCUU
rnacentral:snoRNA from 1 species